rnacentral:rRNA from 1 species
AUUGUACGCUGGCGGCAUGCCUUACACAUGCAAGUCGAACGGUAACAGGUCUUCGGAUGCUGACGAGUGGCGAACGGGUGAGUAAUACAUCGGAACGUGCCUAGUAGUGGGGGAUAACUACUCGAAAGAGAGGCUAAUACCGCGUGAGAUCUACGGAUGAAAGCAGGGGAUCGCAAGACCUUGUGCUACUAGAGCGGCCGAUGGCAGAUUAGGUAGUUGGUGGGAUAAAAGCUUACCAAGCCGACGAUCUGUAGCUGGUCUGAGAGGACGAUCAGCCACACUGGGACCGAGAAACGGCCCAGACUCCUACGGGGGGCAGCAGUGGGGAAUUUUGGACAAUGGGCGCAAGCCUGAUCCAGCAAUGCCGCGUGCAGGAUGAAGGCCUUCGGGUUGUAAACUGCUUUUGUACGGAACGAAAAGCCCCGGGUUAAUACCCUGGGGUCAUGACGGUAUCGUAAGAAUAAGCACCGGCUAACUACGUGCCAGCCGCCGCCGUAA